UCGGCGUACACGGACGAACGGCUGGCGGCGUGCUUAACACACUGCCAAGUCGAACGGUAAAGGACCCCGUCGCUUGCAGGGGUACUCGAGUGGCGAACGGGUGAGUAACACGUGGGCGAUCUGCCCUUCACUUCGGGAUAAGACCUGGGAAACUAGGGUCUAAUACCGGAUAGGACCAAUCUUUAGUGUGGUUGGUGGAAAGUUUUUCGGUGGAGGAUGAGCCCGCGGCCUAUCAGCUUGUUGUGGGGUAAUGGCCUACCAAGGCGACGACGGGUAGCCGGGCCUGAGAGGGUGGACGGCCACAUUGGGACUGAGACACGGCCCAGACUCCUACGGGAGGCAGCAGUGGGGAAUAUUGCACAAUGGGCGGAAGCCUGAUGCAGCGACGCCGCGUGAGGGAUGACGGCCUUCGGGUUGUAAACCUCUUUCGCUAGGGAAGAAGCCUUCGGGUGACGGUACCUGGAUAAGAAGCACCAGCUAACUACGUG
rnacentral:rRNA from 1 species